GCUGAAGAUUUACCAGUUUAUGUGGUUGAUCUGGAUCACGGCAUGAAGGACAAAAACCCCAUUGAAUCUGUCUAUUUCUACAGCAAGAGGAAACCCAAUGAAGCUUCUACAAUUAAAGAUUAUCAGCUGUCCAGUUUCCUGCCGAAGAAGUUCAAUGAAGAGCUUGUCAGAGUUUAUUACAGAAGAACUGAUGAUCAGAGAGCUGAAGAUAAGGAGGAGGAGAAGAAGAAGGUGGAAGAGGCGGAGAAGUGCUUUCAGAUCUGGUGUUCAGACAAUUUUGGACUCC